rnacentral:rRNA from 1 species
AUGCCGCAUGCCACGGUGGCCCUCGAUGCGGCGGCGCGGCCGUUGGUCGUGGGGCGACACGGUGACGCUGUUGGCUGGCGGCGCCCGCCGAGCCCAGAUCUUGGCCCGUUUGGGCCCCAUCUGGGUUGGGUCGGGCCGGUGGCACGGCGCUCGACGGCGUCGCUUCCUGGUGGUAGUGGCGAGGCGGCGACGAGUACUUCGUUGGUUGGCGUGUUGCAGCGCGGUGACAGGGACUGUCCGGGCCCACGUGGGCCCGACCAGGCCGUAGGGCCCAGCAAGUCCUCGUCGCCGCGUCCGGUCGGCUUCGCUCUUGCGAUGGAGGCUGUUCCCUCCCACCGGUCGAGUAGUGCCCGCCCUCGUGGCCGUUGUCUCCUUUCCCUCUCCAGGCCUCGUGUUGGCAGCUCCAGAGAGAUGGCGAGGGUGGUUCGGUAA